rnacentral:rRNA from 1 species
CCUACGGGUGGCAGCAGUGAGGAAGAUUGGUCAAUGGGCUUACGCCUGAACCAGCCAAGUCGCGUGAGGGAAGACUGCCCUAUGGGUUGUAAACCUCUGUUGUCAGGGAGCAACGCCGGCUACGUGUAGCCGGACUGAGAGGACCUGAAGAAAAAGCAGCGGCUAACUCCGUGCCAGCAGCCGCGGUAAUACGGAGGAUGCGAGCGUUAUCCGGAUUUAUUGGGUUGAAAGGGUGCGUAGGCGGAAUGCCAAGUCAGCGGUAAAAUCGCGGGGCGCAACCUCGCUCCGCCGUUGAAACGGGCGUUCUUGAGUGGGCGAGCCGUAUGCGCACUGCGUGGUGUAGCG